rnacentral:rRNA from 1 species
GACAGAGGGUGCAAACGUUGUUCGGAAUUACUGGGCGUAAAGCGCGUGUAGGCGGGUCUUUAAGUCAGGGGUGAAAUGCCAAGGCUCAACCUUGGAACUGCCCUUGAUACUGGAGACCUUGAGUCCGGGAGAGGUGAGUGGAAUUGCGAGUGUAGAGGUGAAAUUCGUAGAUAUUCGCAAGAACACCAGUGGCGAAGGCGGCUCACUGGCCCGGAACUGACGCUGAGACGCGAAGGCGUGGGGAGCAAACAGG